rfam:Ciona savignyi cont_17355, whole genome shotgun sequence.
GGUCCUGUGGCCCAAUGGAUAAGGCGCCUGACUACGAAUCAAGAGAUUCCAGGUUCGAGUCCUGGCAGGAUCG